rnacentral:rRNA from 1 species
UACGUAGGGUGCAAGCGUUAAUCGGAAUUACUGGGCGUAAAGCGCGCGUAGGCGGCUUUGCAAGUCGAGUGUGAAAUCCCCAGGCUUAACCUGGGAACUGCAUUCGAGACUGCAUAGCUAGAGUAUAGGAGAGGGAAGUGGAAUUUCAGGUGUAGCGGUGAAAUGCGUAGAUAUCUGAAGGAACAUCAGUGGCGAAAGCGACUUCCUGGACCAAUACUGACGCUCAUGUGC